AUGGAGAGGAGGCAGCCGCCACAGCAAGGGGGAGAAGAGGGGCUUCAGGUCCUUGGUCAGUCGAUGGGUAUGGAGCAACAGCAAGGAUCACAGGGAAUGGCAGAAGAGUUCAGAUCGGAGGAGAGGAGCAGCAAAGGUUCGGGAAGACGACAGCAGGGGUGCAGCGAGGGGAGAGGUGGUGAACUCGUGAUGGUGCUGGAUGGUGUUGGAGGAAGGAGGCGUUGGUGGAGGUGGAGUGAAUGGAUGGCUGGGUGGUGCACCGCCACGCCGGCCUGGCCGCGGCGGCGGCCGGUGGUGGAGAAGGAAGGGUGA
rnacentral:rRNA from 1 species